UCCAACUUAAUUUUAUUUCUCCUUAAAAUACUUGACCAUUUUCAAAUUAAAACUUUUUAUUCUUUUUAUUAUUGUGGUCCUUUUUUAUUUUUACAAUAAAAGAAAACAUACAUAAAAAAAAUAAAAAAUUCGGACACACAUAAACAUCACUUUUUACUAUACUUACUCACACACUCACAUUCACAAUUACAUUAUUACAAAAAUAUCCAUAAUUCAAAACUAACCCUACCGAACAUAUUAAACAAAAAAACAUUUAUAUCAAACAGUUAAUUUACAACUGUACCCCUCAAGGCUCGGGAACAGUGCUGGGGACAUCAGUGAAGCUUCUGGGAUUGAGAAACAGUGGCGCCGCGUCUUCUCCACCUCACGUGAACCCACGCGCCGCCGCGAGAAUGAAACGGGAAACAGGGGGUCUGUAACAGCCUCCUCCCGUCUUCCUUUUUCCUGCCGGCGGUGAGGAAUCCUGUCACCUGCAACAAAAAGAAAACGCACAAACAACAAUGGGUUUUAAUCGUUUCCUUCCUUUAGAUCGGACCGUCCUCUGUCCUCUUUCUUCCUCCCGGUUCGUUUCCCUCUGCUGGUGGCAGAUCCGGCCGUUGGCUCGCGGUCCAAACCCGCUACUCCGGGUUGCUGCUGGGGUUGAACCGAUGAAAAAGAGUCGGUUGAUGAGGAAGGGGACGGUCUGUGAGUUCACCCGUGUGUGGGUUGCCGUUGUGUUCGGGCUACUCCGGGUUGGUUUCGGUUGAGACCGGUCUGCACCGAUGAUGGAUUGUGGGCAACGGUGGAGCUAACUGGGGGAAGUGAGCUGGGUCUGCUGGAUCUUCGGACGGCGCUGCUGCGGACACACCGCUGGUUUGCCCAAAUGGUGGGCGGCUGGAGUGAGGGUAGAUGGAGGUUGAUGUGGGUGUGGCCUUGGCUGGUCUGUGAGAAGGAGAAAAAUAGGGAAGAGGGCUUGUGGGGAACGGCUGUGUUGAUGGCCGGCUAUGGGAGAUGACAGGGGGAGGGGGGAUCAGCCGUGGCCUUUUUUGGAGGAGAAGUGAGCGGCGGCUCUGUGUGCAGGCGGCUGAGGUUUUUUUGGUUUCAAAGGGAGAGGGCCGGCGGUUGUCUCUAGAAAAUGGGGAGAAGAUAGGGUCGGCCGCUGGUUAAAGGGGAAGGUUGUGUGCCUGCGGCUGAGUACGAGAGGGUUAGGGUUUUUUUGUGUUUCUUUCCUCAAAAUGUUCUCCCCGGGUCCAAUCUUUUUUUUUUCCCUCCCCGGGUCAAUUUUUCUCCCUUUGUAGGUAACAAAAUUUCUUAUUUUUUAAACUGUCUAGGUGGUUGUCCAGUGAUAAGAACUUAAAAUUAAGAGGUUUGCUUUCUCUGUGGUCUAAGGUUCGAGCCUUGUGGUUGCUCAUAUGAUGGUUACUUGAGGCUUACAUGGUCGUUAAUUUCAGGGCCCGUAGGAUUAGUCGAGGUACGCGCAAGCUGAUCCGGACACACAUGUUAAACUAAAAAAAAAAAUUUCUUAUUUUUAAUUGCUUGGUACCAAGCAAUCAAAAAACAAAUUGGUCCCUCAACCUUUUUUUUUUAUAUUUGAUCCCUUAUAAAUUUUGAUUUUUAAUUUUUUUUUUUAAAACAAGCAAUAUUAACGUUAAAUUAACAAUGAAAAUCAGUAAUGGUAAAAUUUACGCGUUAAAAGUUGAACGCGUUUAAAAUACCUUUAAAAAUUUAAAUUUUUCUGAGAUGACGUUAAAAAUAAUGUAAAUAUAUUAAAAAUAUAUUUUUUUGAGGUUUUCAUUAUUUUUUUGCUAUUUUUAGUUUUUUAAAAAAAUUUAUUAAAAAUAUGGGUAAAAAAAUAGAUAGCAAUAAGAAGAAUUAUAGGUAUAAAUAUAAUAUGAAUUGAAAGAAAACAUUCAAUUUUCUUUUUCCUAUCUUUAUUUAAAUAACCAUUUAGUGUAUACUUUUUUUUUUUUAUGUGACAGUUGUGUUGCUUUAUGUGACAGCUGCUGCUGCUGUAGCCGCCGCCGCUGUUGUUACUGCUGGGACAACUGCUGCUACUGCUUGAAAUCUAUUUUUGAAUGCUUUGGGAUUUGUGAGGGUGUAGGAGACUAAGAGCAUGUUUGGGAACGCGGCUGCUGCCGCCUUCCCAAAAAAUUUGAAAUUUUUUUUUUUUUUUGCUAAAAUUUAAUAUGGUUUGUACGUUUUGGAUCGUUUUGAUGUGCUGGUGUCAAAAAUGAUUUUUAAAAAAUGAAAAAACAUCAUUGGCAUGCAUUUUGGCACGAAAAGUUAUUUGAAAAGCACCCGCAACCACACUGCCAAACACGCUUUAAGACAAUUGAAAUAAUGGGAUAUGAGAUAGAAUAAGACAUGGGGACACAUUAUUUUUAAUAUAUAUUGUGAGCAUUUAAUUUACCGUUUAGGAUUCUUUUCUUUUUUUGUGAUGCUUUUCUUGAUUUAAUUUUGCUUGUUAAAAUUGAAUUUACAACAAAAUAAAGAUGAACAAUGUCACACAUCACUCACGCGGUAUCAGCUUUGACAAAUUUUUUCCGUUGUUUUUGCUUGAAUUGAUUUAUUCGUUGAGAAUCACCACCUGAUAUUUAAUUAAAAAUUACUAAAAAACCCAAAUAUAUCGAAAAAUAUUAACACCCCUAUCACACCCUACUUAAAAUAAGCUACUUCAUAGCUUUGAUAUGUUAAAAAAAUUUUAAAAAUUUUAUUUUAUUAAAAAUACAAUUUACAUGUAAAUUCAUAAUUCUUUACCGUUAACAAAUUAAAAUAUUAAAUUCCUCUUUAUUCUUUUCAAUUUUAUUAUAACUACAAAAAAACAUCCAUAAAAACAUUCAAACACACACAUACAUUUUUUACUAUAUUUUUUCUUUUUUCCUUUUCUUUUUCUUUUCUUUUUUUUUUACAUCCACAAUACAAAAUUUAACUUCAAAACAACUAAACAAAAAUUACAAUAAUAACCCCAAAACAAACUGGAAUUUACAGGGAACACCUUCUGCACCACAAGAACAGUGUCAGGCAGACUUCUGAAGCUGCAAGGCAGUGGCGGCGCGUCUUCCCCACGCGCCACCUCCACUAGCGGCGCGUCGGUUCACCCGCCGCCGCGAGGAAGAAACUGGAAACAGUGGGAUCUGGCUCAGCCCCUUCUCCUCUUCCUUUCCCUGCCGGCGGUGACAUCCACCGUCACCUGUAAAAGAAGAAAAAACACAAGCAAAGUUUCGGUUCUUCCUCCCCUUUUUUAGAUCUGCUCUCUUCUGGUUUCUCUCUUUCUCUUGGUUCGGUGAUUUUUCUUCUGCAGGUAAUAGAUCUGGCGGUUGGGCUGUCGUCCGUGGCAGCUGAAGCUGCGGUGGAGAUGUGAGUGGUUGUUCGGUCGGAGGGCGAAGAAGAAAUGGCGCCUGCGGCUGAAGAGGGAGACCGUAGGUCUGUAGGCGCCGCUGCUGGAGAAGGGCUGCUGCUGACCGGUUGAAGGAGAUGACGAAGAGAUGUUAUGCGUGAGAAACUUAGUGAUCCAAACUGUAUUGGGUCGUCUGGCCGGAUUUGGAAGGUAGAAAACGUAUUAGGGAAGAAAGGGAAGGAAUCGGUGUGUAAACAUGGAGGAGGUGUGAGUAAGUUGGUGACAGUAGCAAGUUUGUUAACUUUCCUCAAUUGAAGGAGAGUCAUUCAUUUCUCAUUUCUUUUCACGUGAAUAUUCAUGCAGUCUGUUACAGGUAUAUAUAGGCUGAAACUGUUCUAGAUUACCCCCUCAGCUGCUCUUGAUGAUUUUAUUACAUUUAACUAAACGAUGCGUUUAAAGGAAAUAAUAAAACGGUGCAGUAUAGAUGCUUAAUGAAACGGUGUGUUUCCAGUAACGGUUACUUAAAUUUGAAUCUCUUAUCAAUCCUCUUCUUCUCCAUCUUCAGGUGUUAACAAUCGCCCUCCCUUGAAUCCAACCUUGUCCUUAAGGUUGAAACUUGGGAACCGUAUGCUCAAUUCAUCAGUGAAUUCCCAAGUGGCGUCCGCAGGUGCUAGUCCCUCCCAGUGAACCAGUACUUGAGUGGUACCUUUGUCUUUUUGUCGUGCUAAACGUCUGUCUAAUAUGGCUCUUGGUUGCAGGCAAGGUGUUGGUUGUUGUGAUGGAAGAGUCUGCUGCACGAUCUGGUUGCCCACAUGCUUCUUGAGUUGGGAGACGUGGAAAAUAGGAUGAAUCAUUGACUGUGGAGGCAGAUUGAGCAUGUAUGCCACGGUUCCCACCUUGGCUAACACUUGGUAAAGACCGUAGUAUUUUGCAGCUAAUUUGUGUGAAACUCUAGCAGCUGUGGAUUGUUGUUUGUAUGGUUGAAGUUUAAGAUAAACAUAAUCCUUUACCUCAAAACUUCUGUCACUCCGUCUCCUGUUUGCAAUUGUAAUCAUUCUAUGCUGAGCUAUCUGUAGGUGUGACCUGACCCUCUUAAUCAGAGCUUCCUUGGUAGUUAGAUAGGCAUCCACUGACUCGACUGCUGAAUCCCUAGGAAAAUAAGGAAUGUGUAUGGGAGGAGGGACCCCGUAUAACACUUCAUAGGGUGUCAUCUUGGUAGCAGAGUGAUAAUUUGUGUUGUACCACCACUCUGCAAGGGAAAGCCAUUUCGCCCAUUGGUGAGGGUGAUCUCCAGUCAUACACCUUAGGUAGUGUUCGAUGCAUUUGUUGACAAUUUCGGUCUGACCAUCAGUCUGCGGGUGGUAGGCUGUAGAGUAGUGAAGAUCCACUCCCUGUAUGUUGAACAACUCCUUCCAAAACCUGCUGAGGAAUACUGGAUCCCUGUCACUAGUAACAGAUGCUGGCAAUCCAUGUAGUUUGUAUAUAUUGUCCAUAAACAGUUUGGCAACUUUAGGAGCAGAAUAGGGGUGGCUUAGGGCUAGGCAAUGAGCAUACUUACUGAAUCGAUCCACCACCACCAGAAUGACAUCCUUUCCCUCAGAUUUGGGUAGGCCUUCGACAAAAUCCAUGCUGAUAUGGAUGAAUGGUGCAUACGGAAUAGGCAGUGGCUGCAGAAGACCUGGGCUAGCCACAUUUUCAUGUUUGUUUCUUUGACACACACUGCAUUCUCGAACGUGUUGCCUUAUGUGUUUUUGUUGUCCCCUCCAGUAGAAUAAACUUCCCACCGAUUUAGCAGUAACCCUCAUGCCCGAAUGCCCUCCCACAGUUGAGUUAUGGAACAUGGAGAUAAUUUUACCUCGUAGUUCCUCAUUACUACCUACCACUAUCUUUCCCUUCCUGUUAAGGUGGCCAUUAACCCACGUAUAGUGUGGAUGAGAGGCUGGAGAUUGCUGUAAUUCUUGAAUGAGAGUCUGAAUUAUAGGAUCCUGGUUAUAAGACUGCACAAUCUCUUCCAUGAAAGUUGUAGAAAUAGUGAAAGUUAUCAAUGCCGAGAGUGCUGUGCUUGGGAUCCUGGAGAGUGCAUCUGCUUGAACAUUCUCCUUCCCUUGCUUGUAUUCUAUGUCAUAAUCAUAACCCAAAAGUUUAAUUAACCAUACAUGCUGGGCAGGAGUCGUCAGCUUCUGGUGUAGGAGGUAUUUUAGACUGAUGUGGUCAGUACGAAUGUGAAAGUGUCUUCCCCACAAGUAAUGUUUCCAUUUAGUGACUGCUUGCAGGAUUGCCAGCAUUUCCCUCUCGUAGACAGACAUGAUUUGUUGUUUAGGACCCAACGAUUUGCUUAUGAAAGCAAUGGGAUGGCCAUCUUGCAUUAGGACUGCCCCUACCCCUGUUAGAGAUGCAUCUGUUUCUACUACAAACUGUUUGCUGAAGUCUGGUAGAGCCAACACUGGAGCACUUGUCAUUAGUGUCUUUAAAAGUGUGAAUGCCUGUGUAGCUUCCUCAUUCCACCCCAAGGCCUCCUUUUUCAAUAGAUUAGUUAAGGGUUUAGAAAUGCUACCAUACCCCUUAACAAACCUUCGGUAAUAUCCUGUCAACCCCAAGAACCCCCUUAGCUGUUUAAGAUUCUUAUGAAUCGGCCAAUCGAGAAUCGCCUGAAUUUUGAGGGGGUCGGUUGCUACUCCUUGUGCUGAAAUGAUAUGGCCCAAGUAUUCCACCUGCCCUUUGCUGAAAAAACACUUGUUAGCUUUGGCAACUAACCGAUGCUCCUGUAAUAGUUCCAGAACGAUUUCCAGAUGCUUGUAAUGGUCAGUUAAGGACCUGCUGUAGACUAAGAUGUCAUCGAAGAACACCAGAAUGAAUUUUCGUAAAUGGUCUCUGAAAACUUCAUUCAUAAGGCUCUGAAAGGUGGCUGGAGCAUUAGUUAAGCCAAAUGGCAUAACCAGAAAUUCGUAAUGGCCACUGUGAGUCCUGAAGGCUGUCUUAAACUCGUCCCCUGUAUACAUUCGGAUUUGGUGGUAUCCUGAUCGAAGAUCGAUCUUGGAAAAUGUUGUUGCGCUUGCCAAUUCCUCUAGUAGUUCUUCAAUCAUUGGAAUAGGGUAUUUGUCUUUGAUAGUGAGCUUGUUUAAGGCUCUAUAAUCGACACAAAACCUCCAAGUGGAGUCCUUUUUCUUCACCAGAAUUACUGGCGAUGCAAAUGGGCUGUUGCUGGUUCUGAUAAUUCUAGCUGCUAGCAUCUCUUUCACCAUCUUUUCUAGAAUAUCCUUCUGGAGCCCUGAGUAUCGAUAAGGCCUUAGAUUGAUUGCUUCACUACCUGCUUUUAAUGGAAUUCUAUGGUCGUGAUUUCUAGGUGGUGGUAAUCCCUUCGGUUCAUGGAAUAACUCCCGGUAGGACUGAAGGAUAUUUAGCAGAUCAGUAUCCUUGAUGUCAGGAAACAGAGUGGUAAUUGUUCCUGCGCCUGUUACCUCCUCUUCUCCCCCUUCCAUUGUCAUUAGGCUACAUAAGAAGUAAUCGGCCACUUGCCCCUGAUUGCCCACUAAGGAACUCAGUUGCUUUAGUUCAAUGGUUUGGAACUUGGGCGGAUCCUCUCCUUUUAGCAAGACUCUCUCCACCUGCCAAUCAAAUGACAUCCAGAGGUGUUUGUAGUUGCAUAAGAUGUCCCCUAACAUGGAUAGCCAUUGUAUUCCCAAUACCAUUUCGCAGUUGCUAAGUUCAAUGAUAUAGACAUCUGUUUGGAAGCUUAUUCCCUGCAUCUUCCACCUGAGUUCCCUGCACAUGGAUUUGCACACCAUCUUCUCCCCAUU
rnacentral:lncRNA from 1 species